CCAUAGGUUUUUAUUUUAAAUACUACCGGUCGAUUUCUUAAUCAACCCUAAAUGUACCAACGACCUUACCGACUUGAUACCUCCAUUCCAGGUCUUCGCCUCCAUAGGUUUUUAUUUUAAAUACUACCGGUGGAUUUUUUAAUCAACCCUCAAUGCACCAACGACCUUACCGAAUUGAUACCUCCACUCCAGGUGUUUGCCUCCAUAGGUUUUUAUUUUAAAUACUAUCGGUGGCUUUCUUAAUCAAC